GAUGAACGCUGGCGGCGUGCCUAAUACAUGCAAGUCGAGCGAACGGACGAGAAGCUUGCUUCUCUGAUGUUAGCGGCGGACGGGUGAGUAACACGUGGAUAACCUACCUAUAAGACUGGGAUAACUUCGGGAAACCGGAGCUAAUACCGGAUGAUAUUUUGAACCGCAUGGUUCAAUAGUGAAAGACGGUCUUGCUGUCACUUAUAGAUGGAUCCGCGCUGCAUUAGCUAGUUGGUAAGGUAACGGCUUACCAAGGCAACGAUGCAUAGCCGACCUGAGAGGGUGAUCGGCCACACUGGAACUGAGACACGGUCCAGACUCCUACGGGAGGCAGCAGUAGGGAAUCUUCCGCAAUGGGCGAAAGCCUGACGGAGCAACGCCGCGUGAGUGAUGAAGGUCUUCGGAUCGUAAAACUCUGUUAUUAGGGAAGAACAUAUGUGUAAGUAACUGUGCACAGCUUGACGGUACCUAAUCAGAAAGCCACGGCUAACUACGUG
rnacentral:rRNA from 1 species